UAACCCCAGAGCCCUGGCCUCCAUUUCUUAAGCUUCUCUACCAUCAUGGCCCUCCUCGCUCAUUAAGUGCUCUCCCACCAUAGGGCUGCCUUCUGUGCCGUUCCCUCUGGAGGCAACACUUCUCUCUGAUGAACUCCUACUCAUCCCUCGUGGUCUCACCCUUCCUACCCACCUAUUAGGUUUCCUGUUAUUUUUCCACCAUGGCCUUCAGCACAAUUUUUAAUUAGCUCUUGAUGUAUGUGUUCAUUAGUUUUAUGUCCAUCCUGGCUACUUGACCAUGAGAGCAGAGACCAAGUGUGACCUGUACAGUGGCCUCUGCAGGCCCUGAAACAGAGCCCAGGAGGGCCUAGCCAGGGCUUGACAAGUACAUGAGAACCGAAAGGAGAUGGGCCGAAGAUCCAUCUGUGCUCAAGUGCACAGUCCCUACCUGUGCAUACCAGUCUAGGCCCAUCUGAAGCUUAAAUCCUGCAGAACAGAGCGUGCUUCUGAAGAUUUACCAAGUCCAGGUCCAAGGUGAAUUCAAUGACUUUUCAAUGACUUUCCCUGCCACACCAAGGAGGACUUUCACCCGAGAGCCAAGGACAUCAUGCUUGAAUGUGUGGAACUGUCUGCAUAUCUGAUGUCAUCAGGGCUGCUCGCUUCACCACAGGCCCCUGCCCAGGCCUGAUUCCUCUGGUGCUUGUCAUGGAAGUGACAGAGCAAGAUGGAACCAUUCCAACAAACCAGCAAGUCAUGCAGUGCAGGCUUUCCGGGAGUAGCUGACAGCAGGAACCACCCAAUUGUUUUCCACAAUGACUGCACCAUGUUACGCUCAUACCAGGAAGAAAGCACUGACACCCACUGCAGCACAGAUGACCCCCAAGAUCAUGGUGCUAAAUGAAAGGAGCCAAUCACCAAAGACCACUCAACAAGGCAGACUGGGGGCUGCUGCGGAACAAGGCAGGGGAGAAUGGGCAUGGGGUCUCCUUUGGGUGUGAUGUGAAAAUGUUCGGGAACUAGACACAUGUGGCAGAUGCCAAUAUCGUGAAUGUACUAAAUGCCACUGAAUUGUACACUUUAAGAUGGUUAAUUUUGUGUUAUAUGAAUUUUACCUCAACAACAAUAACAACAAAAUAAACAAAAUACCCUAUCCAUUGGGUAUUUGGUGCCAGGCAA